GACAGAGGUCCCGAGCGUUGUUCGGAUUCAUUGGGCGUAAAGGGUGUGUAGGAGGUCGGGUAAGUCAGGUGUGAAAUCUCAGAGCUUAACUCUGAAACUGCGCUUGAUACUGCUCGGCUAGAGGAUCGGAGGGGGUAACGGAAUUUAUGGUGUAGCAGUGAAAUGCGUAGAUAUCAUAAGGAACACCGGUGGCGAAGGCGGUUACCUGGAAGAUUCCUGACUCUGAAACACGAAAGCCAGGGGAGCAAACGGG
rnacentral:rRNA from 1 species